UCGAGGGAUAGCUCAAUUGUUAGAGCAUGAGACUCUCACUCUCUUAAUCUCAGGGCUGUGGGUUUGAGCCCCACACGGGGCAAAA